GUCGAACGAACUCUGGUAUUGAUUGGUGCUUGCAUCAUGAUUUACAUUUGAGUGAGUGGCGAACUGGUGAGUAACACGUGGGAAACCUGCCCAGAAGCGGGGGAUAACACCUGGAAACAGAUGCUAAUACCGCAUAACAACUUGGACCGCAUGGUCCGAGCUUGAAAGAUGGCUUCGGCUAUCACUUUUGGAUGGUCCCGCGGCGUAUUAGCUAGAUGGUGGGGUAACGGCUCACCAUGGCAAUGAUACGUAGCCGACCUGAGAGGGUAAUCGGCCACAUUGGGACUGAGACACGGCCCAAACUCCUACGGGAGGCAGCAGUAGGGAAUCUUCCACAAUGGACGAAAGUCUGAUGGAGCAACGCCGCGUGAGUGAAGAAGGGUUUCGGCUCGUAAAACUCUGUUGUUAAAGAAGAACAUAUCUGAGAGUAACUGUUCAGGUAUUGACGGUAUUUAACCAGAAAGCCACGGCUAACUACGUGCCAGCAGCCGCGGUAAUACGUAGGUGGCAAGCGUUGUCCGGAUUUAUUGGGCGUAAAGCGAGCGCAGGCGGUUUUUUAAGUCUGAUGUGAAAGCCUUCGGCUCAACCGAAGAAGUGCAUCGGAAACUGGGAAACUUGAGUGCAGAAGAGGACAGUGGAACUCCAUGUGUAGCGGUGAAAUGCGUAGAUAUAUGGAAGAACACCAGUGGCGAAGGCGGCUGUCUGGUCUGUAACUGACGCUGAGGCUCGAAAGUAUGGGUAGCAAACAGGAUUAGAUACCCUGGUAGUCCAUACCGUAAACGAUGAAUGCUAAGUGUUGGAGGGUUUCCGCCCUUCAGUGCUGCAGCUAACGCAUUAAGCAUUCCGCCUGGGGAGUACGGCCGCAAGGCUGAAACUCAAAGGAAUUGACGGGGGCCCGCACAAGCGGUGGAGCAUGUGGUUUAAUUCGAAGCUACGCGAAGAACCUUACCAGGUCUUGACAUACUAUGCAAAUCUAAGAGAUUAGACGUUCCCUUCGGGGACAUGGAUACAGGUGGUGCAUGGUUGUCGUCAGCUCGUGUCGUGAGAUGUUGGGUUAAGUCCCGCAACGAGCGCAACCCUUAUUAUCAGUUGCCAGCAUUAAGUUGGGCACUCUGGUGAGACUGCCGGUGACAAACCGGAGGAAGGUGGGGAUGACGUCAAAUCAUCAUGCCCCUUAUGACCUGGGCUACACACGUGCUACAAUGGAUGGUACAACGAGUUGCGAACUCGCGAGAGUAAGCUAAUCUCUUAAAGCCAUUCUCAGUUCGGAUUGUAGGCUGCAACUCGCCUACAUGAAGUCGGAAUCGCUAGUAAUCGCGGAUCAGCAUGCCGCGGUGAAUACGUUCCCGGGCCUUGUACACACCGCCCGUCACACCAUGAGAGUUUGUAACACCCAAAGUCGGUGGGGU
rnacentral:rRNA from 1 species